GAUGAACGCUGGCGGCGUGCCUAAUACAUGCAAGUCGAGCGAACAGACGAGGAGCUUGCUCCUCUGACGUUAGCGGCGGACGGGUGAGUAACACGUGGAUAACCUACCUAUAAGACUGGGAUAACUUCGGGAAACCGGAGCUAAUACCGGAUAAUAUAUUGAACCGCAUGGUUCAAUAGUGAAAGACGGUUUUGCUGUCACUUAUAGAUGGAUCCGCGCCGCAUUAGCUAGUUGGUAAGGUAACGGCUUACCACGGCAACGAUGCGUAGCCGACCUGAGAGGGUGAUCGGCCACACUGGAACUUAGACACGGUCCAGACUCCUACGAGAGGCAGCAGUAGGGAAUCUUCCGCAAUGGGCGAAAGCUUGACGGAGCAACGCCGCGUGAGUGAUGAAGGUCUUCGGAUCGUAAAACUCUGUUAUUAGGGAAGAACAAAUGUGUAAGUAACUAUGCACGUCUUGACGGUACCUAAUCAGAAAGCCACGGCUAACUACGUG
rnacentral:rRNA from 1 species